rnacentral:lncRNA from 1 species
CUUUGCCUGGUACAUAUUGAGGGCAAAGGAAUGCAAAAAAAAGUCUUUGAGAAACAGGUCAUUUGUUCACUAAUUAUUAUGAGAGUAUUAGAAGAUAAAGGAGGAACGCGUGAUUUAUUCAUAAGUUGGGAUAAUGUCUCUUUCUGACAAGGGGGGAGUACAUAGUAUUUUUAUCUUCUGUUUUUCCAAACCAAAAGUGAGAGUGAGAUGCCAGAGGUCCAAAUUGACACUUCCAGAAAGAGCAGAUUCCUGAGCAUCAAGGUCCCUCUUCUGAUAACUAAGGUGGAAGGUGUUUUGGAAAUCUUGCUUUUAGAUAUAAAAAUGACAAACAGGACCAAUAAUACAAACAAGGUCUAGGUCAGCCACAGAUGAAGACUUGAGAUAUCUGUUACAUAAUGGAUGCAAUCAAAGAAAUGACAGUGCCAGCAUUGCAGAUAGCCCACCAGUUUUCCUGGUUUCUAACUGGAAGAUGUAUGUGCAUCUAUUUCCUCCACUGAAUCAACUGUUUUCACUUUUUAAAUUCAUUUUCUUCUAGCAAAUAAAUUGUAAUAGAGCCCAGGCACAUGGUCCAUGAAGCAGUUGUAUUCAUUAUAAGGAAUAUUACCAGCUGUUUAAAUGGAGAUGCAGUGUUGGAAAAUCACAUGGCUUGGGACAGACUGAUCUUCUAAGAGAUGUGCAGAAGGAAAAUAUUCAGAAAUUUACUGUCUGUACAACAAACUCUGAAUUACUGUAUGUAUGGCAGUGAUGGCCACAGGGAGAUGGUGGAGCAGACCUACAUAAGUAAUAAGGAACAGUCUCCACGUUUUUAUCCUUAUUCCUAUCUUUCUUCAUCAGAGUGUCCUGCUGCUUGGACAUAAGACUAGAGGACAUAAGAUACCAGGACUAGCGAGGGCUAGCAAACUUCACUAAAUCAUAUAUGCUAGAAAAUUUUGACAAGUACAAAUAAUGAUGUUUUAUUGAAAAUAUUCAGUUCUGUAAGUCUCUGGUUGAAAAUUACUCCCCAUAAGAUUUUGAAACCUGUUUACUUUCUUCUUUACAUACCUGUACAACCUCUGGCUUUCCUUUGAUCCCAAACCCUGAUCGUGGGAGCAGGAGAUACAUUCCUGACACCGAAAGAGCUGAAGUCCU